UACGUAGGGUGCAAGCGUUAAUCGGAAUUACUGGGCGUAAAGCGUGCGCAGGCGGUUUUGUAAGUCUGUCGUGAAAGCCCCCGGGCUCAACCUGGGAAAUUUGCGAUGGAGACUGCAAGGCUUGAAUCUGGCAGAGGGGGGUAGAAUUCCACGUGUAGCAGUGAAAUGCGUAGAGAUGUGGAGGAACACCGAUGGCGAAGGCAGCCCCCUGGGUCAAGAUUGACGCUCAUGCACGAAAGCGUGGGGGAGCAAACAGG
rnacentral:rRNA from 1 species